UUCAGAUACCUGUACGUAUUCGCAGGGGUUUCGUGUCAAAUGCCUUUUAUAUGCAGUACUAAAUAGCUGUCCUGAUCGCAGGUGUUUCAUGUAUGAUCAAUUUUAUAUAUAUUAACAUCAAAUACCUGUCCUGAUCCCAGGUGUUUCAUGUAUGAUCACUUUUAUAUUAUAUACAUUAACAUCAGAUACCUGUCCUGAUCUCAGGGGUUUCAUGUAUGAUCACUUUUAUAUUAGUUAACAUCAGAUACCUGUCCUGAUCCCAGGGGUUUCAUGUAUGAUCACUUUUAUAUUAGUUAACAUCAGAUACCUGUCCUGAUCCCAGGGGUUUCAUGUAUG
rnacentral:lncRNA from 1 species